rnacentral:lncRNA from 1 species
CGUAAGCGGAUCGGCCACACGGAGGAAGCAUUUGGGGGCUUAGGAAGAAACUAGCGCAGCUCCAUACCUGUACGGACUACAUAACUUUUAAACUACUGGACUCAAAGGAUCCACAUACACACAGGUACAGGAAAUACAGCCAGACCAAAGCCUUUUCAGACCCGAGCUGACCGGAAGACGUUGCCUUUCAUUCAUUCAUUCUGCCCGCGUCUGUGGAGUUCUUUACUAGGCGAGAAGCCCUAGAAGAGAAGCUGGACAUUUUUUAAAGGUCCCUGCGCUCUCCAAGAAGAGGAAAUAGAUGCUCAGGAGUGAACUACCGAGAGAAUCGGAUCUGGCGCCUCCUAACGCAGCUGGCAAAUGUGCGAAGGACUGCCUCCCAGGCUCAGUGUUCAUGAGAUCUGCUGGGCAGAAACUGAGUCACAGGGCCACCUAGAGGUUGGGGACCAGCUAUCAACAACACCCGCAGCUGAGGCCUGCAAACAGGGGGCCUGGGUUCAAGAUUCACACGCUGCCACUAAACGAUUUCAAGUGCCGCCAGGAAAACACCCCCCAUGCAGCAAAAGAAGAAGAGGAAGAAGAAAGUUUGAUGCUCCUUUUGUAUCCAGCCCUACACACUUGGUAGGUGCACAGUAAAAAGUACAGGAUGGGUUCCUAUGUUUUUCGAGAAUUCUGACUUAACCUAUGAGAUGUGUGCCUUUGGGGAAAGUGACUUCACCUCUCUGAAUCUCAUUAUGACUUGUACAAUGGGAAAAAUAAUAGAUCGUUGGGGGAAUGAGAUGAGAUCAUGGAAACACCAUCAUAACACUCCGUAUUUCAUUAUUCUGCUUCCGUAUGCUCUAUAGCGCUGAUCACUUCUAUCGCAUAGUUUACUUCUUUAUUUUGUUUAGUUUUUUUCUCCUUUCAUUUGCCUCUGUACUCCCAGCCCUGCAAAUAGAGCUUGGCCUGUUGUAAGUUCUCAGUAUUUGUUGAAUAAAUGAAUAGAGGGAUAUAAAGUGAUUAGUGGUCAAUAAAUGCCCUAUAGUGG